AGAGUUUGAUCCUGGCUCAGAACGAACGCUGGCGGCAGGCUUAACACAUGCAAGUCGAGCGCCUCGCAAGAGGAGCGGCAGACGGGUGAGUAACGCGUGGGAAUCUACCCAUCUCUACGGAACAACUCCGGGAAACUGGAGCUAAUACCGUAUACGUCCUUCGGGAGAAAGAUUUAUCGGAGAUGGAUGAGCCCGCGUUGGAUUAGCUAGUUGGUGGGGUAAUGGCCUACCAAGGCGACGAUCCAUAGCUGGUCUGAGAGGAUGAUCAGCCACAUUGGGACUGAGACACGGCCCAAACUCCUACGGGAGGCAGCAGUGGGGAAUAUUGGACAAUGGGCGAAAGCCUGAUCCAGCCAUGCCGCGUGAGUGAUGAAGGCCCUAGGGUUGUAAAGCUCUUUCAACGGUGAAGAUAAUGACGGUAACCGUAGAAGAAGCCCCGGCUAACUUCGUGCCAGCAGCCGCGGUAAUACGAAGGGGGCUAGCGUUGUUCGGAAUUACUGGGCGUAAAGCGCACGUAGGCGGAUAUUUAAGUCAGGGGUGAAAUCCCGGGGCUCAACCCCGGAACUGCCUUUGAUACUGGGUAUCUCGAGUCCGAGAGAGGUGAGUGGAAUUCCGAGUGUAGAGGUGAAAUUCGUAGAUAUUCGGAGGAACACCAGUGGCGAAGGCGGCUCACUGGCUCGGUACUGACGCUGAGGUGCG
rnacentral:rRNA from 1 species